rnacentral:misc_RNA from 1 species
UUUCCGUAGGUGAACCUGCGGAAGGAUCAUUACCGAGUUGAUUCGGGCUCCGGCCCGAUCCUCCCACCCUUUUGUGAACCACCUCGUUGCUUCGGGGGCGACCCUGCCGUUCGCGGCGUGGGGCCCCCGGAGCCCAUCAAACCCUGCGUAACUAAGUCGUCGGAGUUUAAAUAAAUUAAACAAAACUUUCAACAACGGAUCUCUUGGUUCGGGCAUCGAUGAAGAAGCAGC